rnacentral:rRNA from 1 species
UUGGGACACGACUAAACCUAAAGGCGCAAUGAAAGUGAAAGUCCGCCUUGCGCGGACCUAGGGAGGAUGGGCGGUCGUUACGGCUACCGCCCCGCACUCCCGGGGCGUCUCGUUCUCAUUGCGAGAAGAGGCGCACCAAGAGCGUACACGCUGGGACCCGAAAGAUGGUGAACUAUGCCUGGUCAGGACGAAGUCAGGGGAAACCCUGAUGGAGGUCCGUAGCGAUUCUGACGUGCAAAUCGAUCGUCGGAACUGGGUAUAGGGGCGAAAGACUAAUCGAACCAUCUAGUAGCUGGUUCCCUCCGAAGUUUCCCUCAGGAUAGCUGGCGCUCGUUGCGUACGAGUUUCAUCCGGUAAAGCGAAUGAUUAGAGGCAUUGGGGUCGAAACGGCCUCAACCUAUUCUCAAACUUUAAAUGGGUGAGAUCUCCGGCUUGCUCGAACUCAUUUUUAAAAUGAAGCCGCGAGACUCGAAUCAGAGUGCCAAGUGGGCCAUUUUUGGUAAGCAGAACUGGCGCUGUGGGAUGAACCAAACGCCGAGUUAAAGCGCCUAAAUCGACGCUUAUGGGAUACCAUGAAAGGCGUUGGUAACUUAAGACAUCAGGACGGUGGCCAUGGAAGUCGGA